rnacentral:misc_RNA from 1 species
UUUCCGUAGGUGAACCUGCGGAAGGAUCAUUAUUGUAUAACCGAGGUGCGAGGGCUGUCGCUGACCCGAAAGGUCGUGCACGCCCGAGUGCCCUCGCGCACAUCCAUCUCACCCCUAUGUGCACCACCGCGUGGGUCCCCCUUUGGCUUGUUCGGAGGGGGGCUUACGUUUUCACACAAACUUUGUAUGCAGUGUAGAAUGUAUUUUUUGUUUUUGCGAUCACGCAAUCAAUACAACUUUCAACAACGGAUCUCUUGGCUCUC